rnacentral:rRNA from 1 species
GACGAACGCUGGCGGCGUGCUUAACACAUGCAAGUCGAACGGUGAAGCGAGUGCUUGCACUCGUGGAUCAGUGGCGAACGGGUGAGUAACACGUGAGUAACCUGCCCAUCACUCUGGGAUAAGCACUGGAAACGGUGUCUAAUACUGGAUACGACCAACCCUUGCAUGGGGUGUUGGUGGAAAGAUUUAUCGGUGAUGGAUGGACUCGCGGCCUAUCAGCUUGUUGGCGGGGUAAUGGCCCACCAAGGCGACGACGGGUAGCCGGCCUGAGAGGGUGACCGGCCACACUGGGACUGAGACACGGCCCAGACUCCUACGGGAGGCAGCAGUGGGGAAUAUUGCACCAUGGGCGAAAGCCUGAUGCAGCGACGCCGCGUGAGGGAUGACGGCCUUCGGGUUGUAAACCUCUUUCAGCAGGGAAGAAGCGAAAGUGACGGUACCUGCAGAAGAAGCACCGGCUAACUACGUG